UACGUAGGUGGCAAGCGUUGUCCGGAAUUAUUGGGCGUAAAGCGCGCGCAGGCGGUUAUGUAAGUCUGAUGUUAAAGCCCGGGGCUCAACCCCGGUUCGCAUUGGAAACUGCGUAACUUGAGUGCAGAAGAGGAAAGUGGUAUUCCACGUGUAGCGGUGAAAUGCGUAGAUAUGUGGAGGAACAUCAGUGGCGAAGGCGACUUUCUGGUCUGUAACUGACGCUGAGGCGCGAAAGCGUGGGGAGCAAACAGG
rnacentral:rRNA from 1 species